rnacentral:rRNA from 1 species
GACAGAGGUGCCAAGCGUUAGGCGGAAUCACUGGGCUUAAAGCGUGUGUAGGUGGAUGCCUAAGUACCUUGUGAAAUCCCACGGCUUAACCGUGGAACUGCUUGGUAUACUGGGUGUCUUGAGCCAACUAGGGGCAGUCGGAACAAACGGUGGAGCGGUGAAAUGCGUAGAUAUCGUUUGGAACGCCAAUGGUGAAAACAGACUGCUGGGGUUGUGCUGACACUGAGACACGAAAGCCAGGGGAGCGAACGGGAUAGAAACCUUG